rnacentral:lncRNA from 1 species
UUGCGCCGUUUUCACUGUGAAGCACUGGCAGGGACCCGAGGAGGCUCAUGGCUGGUGACAGUCGAGUCCUUCGAAUCAUGACAGGAUAGAUACGUUUGGCGCGGAUUAAUUCUGAUAUUCCUAACAAGCAGUUAUAAGAAAACAUCAGCUCGUAAUUAUUGUAUACCAUUUGCUUACACCUGAAGGUAAGGCAGACAACCGUGAUGGAGGCAAAGGACCA